UACGUAGGGCGCAAGCGUUGUCCGGAAUUAUUGGGCGUAAAGAGCUCGUAGGCGGUUUGUCGCGUCUGCUGUGAAAACUCGGGGCUUAACUCCGGGCCUGCAGUGGGUACGGGCAGACUAGAGUGCGGUAGGGGAGACUGGAAUUCAUGGUGUAGCAGUGAAAUGCGUAGAGAUCAUGAGGAAGACCAGUGGCGAAGGCGGGUCUCUGGACAGUUCCUGACACUGAGGCACGAAGGCCAGGGGAGCAAACGGG
rnacentral:rRNA from 1 species